rnacentral:rRNA from 1 species
CCUACGGGCUGCACCAGUGGGGAAUAUUGCACAAUGGGCGCAAGCCUGAUGCAGCCAUGCCGCGUGUAUGAAGAAGGCCUUCGGGUUGUAAAGUACUUUCAGCGGGGAGGAAGGUGUUGUGGUUAAUAACCGCAGCAAUUGACGUUACCCGCAGAAGAAGCACCGGCUAACUCCGUGCCAGCAGCCGCGGUAAUACGGAGGGUGCAAGCGUUAAUCGGAAUUACUGGGCGUAAAGCGCAUGCAGGCGGCCUGUUAAGUCAGAUGUGAAAGCCCGGGGCUUAACCUCGGAAUUGCAUUUGAAACUGGCAGGCUAGAGUCUUGUAGAGGGGGGUAGAAUUCCAUGUGUAGCGGUGAAAUGCGUAGAGAUGUGGAGGAAUACCGGUGGCGAAGGCGGCCCCCUGGACAAAGACUGACGCUCAGAUGCGAAAGCGUGGGGAGCAAACAGGAUUAGAUACCCUCGUAGUC